AGCAGUCGCCGCGGGAAUACGUAGGGUGCGAGCGUUAAUCGGAAUUACUGGGCGUAAAGCGUGCGCAGGCGGUUUGUUAAGACGGAUGUGAAAUCCCCGGGCUCAACCUGGGAACUGCAUUCGUGACUGGCAAGCUAGAGUAUGGCAGAGGGGGGUGGAAUUCCACGUGUAGCAGUGAAAUGCGUAGAGAUGUGGAGGAACACCGAUGGCGAAGGCAGCCCCCUGGGCCAAUACUGACGCUCAUGCACGAAAGCGUGGGGAGCAAACAGGAUUAGAUACCCCGGUAGUCCCUGUCUCUUAUAC
rnacentral:rRNA from 1 species